GAUGAACGCUGGCGGCGUGCCUAAUACAUGCAAGUCGAGCGAACGGACGAGAAGCUUGCUUCUCUGAUGUUAGCGGCGGACGGGUGAGUAACACGUGGAUAACCUACCUAUAAGACUGGGAUAACUUCGGGAAACCGGAGCUAAUACCGGAUAAUAUUUUGAACCGCAUGGUUCAAAAGUGAAAGACGGUCUUGCUGUCACUUAUAGAUGGAUCCGCGCUGCAUUAGCUAGUUGGUAAGGUAACGGCUUACCAAGGCAACGAUGCAUAGCCGACCUGAGAGGGUGAUCGGCCACACUGGAACUGAGACACGGUCCAGACUCCUACGGGAGGCAGCGGUAGGGAAUCUUCCGCAAUGGGCGAAAGCCUGACGGAGCAACGCCGCGUGAGUGAUGAAGGUCUUCGGAUCGUAAAACUCUGUUAUUAGGGAAGAACAUAUGUGUAAGUAACUGUGCACAUCUUGACGGUACCCUAUCAGAAAGCCACGGCUAACUACGUGCCAGCAGCCGCGGUAGUACGUAGGUGGGCAGCGUUAUCCGGGAUUAUUGGGCGUAAAGCGCGCGUAAGGCGGUUUUUUAGUCUGAUGUGAAAGCCCACGGCUCAACCGUGGAGGGUCAUUGGAAACUGGAAAACUUGAGUGCAGAAGAGGAAAGUGGAAUUCCAUGUGUAGCGGUGAAAUGCGCAGAGAUAUGGAGGAACACCAGUGGCGAAGGCGACUUUCUGGUCUGUAACUGACGCUGAUGUGCGAAAGCGUGGGGAUCAAACAGGAUUAGAUACCCUGGUAGUCCACGCCGUAAACGAUGAGUGCUAAGUGUUAGGGGGUUUCCGCCCCUUAGUGCUGCAGCUAACGCAUUAAGCACUCCGCCUGGGGAGUACGACCGCAAGGUUGAAACUCAAAGGAAUUGACGGGGACCCGCACAAGCGGUGGAGCAUGUGGUUUAAUUCGAAGCAACGCGAAGAACCUUACCAAAUCUUGACAUCCUUUGACAACUCUAGAGAUAGAGCCUUCCCCUUCGGGGGACAAAGUGACAGGUGGUGCAUGGUUGUCGUCAGCUCGUGUCGUGAGAUGUUGGGUUAAGUCCCGCAACGAGCGCAACCCUUAAGCUUAGUUGCCAUCAUUAAGUUGGGCACUCUAGGUUGACUGCCGGUGACAAACCGGAGGAAGGUGGGGAUGACGUCAAAUCAUCAUGCCCCUUAUGAUUUGGGCUACACACGUGCUACAAUGGACAAUACAAAGGGCAGCGAAACCGCGAGGUCAAGCAAAUCCCAUAAAGUUGUUCUCAGUUCGGAUUGUAGUCUGCAACUCGACUACAUGAAGCUGGAAUCGCUAGUAAUCGUAGAUCAGCAUGCUACGGUGAAUACGUUCCCGGGUCU
rnacentral:rRNA from 1 species